rnacentral:rRNA from 1 species
UACGUAGGGGGCAAGCGUUGUCCGGAAUUAUUGGGCGUAAAGGGUGCGUAGGCGGCUUUUUAAGUCAGAUGUGAAAGACCACAGCUUAACUGUGGGGUUGCAUUUGAAACUGGAGAGCUUGAGUAUCGGAGAGGGUAGUGGAAUUCCUGGAGUAGCGGUGAAAUGCGUAGAUAUCAGGAGGAACACCAGUGGCGAAGGCGACUACCUGGACGAAAACUGACGCUGAGGCACGAAAGCUAGGGGAGCAAACAGG